rnacentral:rRNA from 1 species
AUUGAACGCUGGCGGCAUGCCUAACACAUGCAAGUCGAGCGGAUGCAGGGAGCUUGCUCCUGGAUUCAGCGGCGGACGGGUGAGUAAUGCCUAGGAAUCUGCCUGGUAGUGGGGGAUAACGUCCGGAAACGGGCGCUAAUACAGCAUACGUCCUGUGGGAGAACGUGGGGGAUCUUCGGACCUCACGCUCUCAGAUGAGCCUAGGUCGGAUUAGCUAGUUGGUGGGGUAAAGGCCUACCAAGGCGACGAUCCGUAACUGGUCUGAGAGGAUGAUCAGUCACACUGGGACUGAGACACGGUCCAGACUCCUACGGGAGGCAGCAGUGGGGAAUAUUGGACAAUGGGCGAAAGCCUGAUCCAGCCAUGCCGCGUGUGUGAAGAAGGUCUUCGGAUUGUAAAGCACUUUAAGUUGGGAGGAAGGGCAGUAAGUUAAUACCUUGCUGUUUUGACGUUACCAACAGAAUAAGCACCGGCUAACUUCGUG